rnacentral:rRNA from 1 species
UGAAACUGAAGAGUUUGAUCAUGGCUCAGAUUGAACGCUGGCGGCAGGCCUAACACAUGCAAGUCGAGCGGCAGCGGGACCUUCGGGUUGCCGGCG